UGCGGUUAUACAAAAAUUAAAUUAAUUUUUUUUAGGUUUUAAUUAAUAAAAUAAAUGAAUAAUUUAAAUUUUAAAUUAUAAAGUGAAAUUUAAAUUUAAUUAAAAUUUAUUUAUUUUUAUGACAUUAAUAAAUUUUAUAAAAAACUAGGAUUAGAUACCCUAUUAUAAAAAUUUAAAUUAAAUAAUCUUAAAAUAGUAUAUAAUUUUUUAUAGAAACUUAAAUAAUUUGGCGGUAUUUUAGUUCAUUUAGAGGAAUCUGUCUAAUAAUUGAUAAUCCACGAUUAAAUUUACUUAAUUUUUAAUUUUGUAUAUCGUUGUUAAAAAAAUAUUUUUAAAUAAUUUUAAUAUUUUAAAAUUUUUAUAAAAAAUUAAAUCAGAUCAAGAUGCAGAUUAUAAUUAAGAAUAUGAUGGAUUACAAUAAAUUUAUUUUAUUUGGAUAUUAAUUUGAAAAAAUUGAUUGAAAUUGGAUUUAAAUGUAAUUUUAUUAAUUUUAUUAAAAUGAUUUUAAAUUAAAAUAUGUACAUAUUGCCCGUCGCUUUCAUUUAUAAAUUGAAAUAAGUCGUAACAAAGUAGAGGUACUGGAAAGUGUUUCUAGAAAGAU
rnacentral:rRNA from 1 species